ACCUACAUGUUUUUCAAUGUAUGUUUUAUCAUCCUAAGAACAGCAGAAGUUUGUCUUAGUGUGGGGAUAUAAGGAUGCCUACUUUACAAAUUCUGAGAUAAAACUGCAGCGUGCAGUUGCUUCCCAUUUGUCUCCUAAUUUUUUUAAACAUUCCAGAUUCAAAACUCCACAUGCCAAACCCUGCAGUGCUAACUCGUGCAAAAUAACCAUGAACUUUGUGCAAUUACUGGUUGUCCGAGUGCAGUCUGAAGGGUUUUGCUGAAGUCUCUGUAGUAUCCUGUCAUGUUACCUGACUGAAGUGUUAUGAUGAGUUUGCAGUAAACAAGCAGUAAUUAUAGACAGAUAUCGUACAGAGAGCUGAAACCUUCAUAUGUUGACCACAUCCCGUCUCACCACACCAGCCAUGGAGAUCUCUCCUCAACAUGACUUAUCUUGUCAGAAGACUCAGAAUCCUGGGUGGUCUUUGAAUGAAGUUGCUGUCAGCCAAUGCAUAUUAGAGUAGCAUACAUUUUAAUCCUGCUGUGUACCGAAGAGCAGAGCUGCGUGUGGACUUGAGCAAGGGCGUGUAAAGAUGGCAUAGACUUAACUCUGGAUCCCAAAUCCUAACCUAACAGGAAAAAAGUCCCCUAAACCUGAUCUGAAUUAUGUGUGUUUCAUAGGAAGAAUAUCAAAGGCAGAAGAUCACAAGUAAUCAUGUUUUUAUGAAAAACUAUUCCAAAGACCAUCCAUCUUUCAGAUGAGCACCCGUCUUUUCAUAGAACCACUGUACAAGAUAUCCCACAUCACUCUCCUGGGACGCUCUCCGUAUUUCCUAUGCCAUCAGUAUUACCAUUUUUCAGUUGUCCACAGUGUUCAGGUGACUGGCUCUCUGAGUAUCUGCAAACAAAGUCCCAAGGAGCUCAUGUGGCUGGCUGAAGGGUUGGGUUUGUUUGACAAAGGUCAGAAAGCAGGUAGGUGAUUGAAGGUUGGAGAGCAAAGAAAGGAGUUCUUUCACCUCCGCAGUGGGCAGUUGUGUGGUACUGGUAAAUGUGGUUGGUAAUUCCAGGUGCUGAAUACAACUUGUGUCAUAUCCUGCAGGGUGCUGCCACCUUUAUCCAAGAUUUAGAAAGUCUGCUGAGCUUGAUGGUUGCUUAGCAGCUGCCCAGCAGUAAACUGCAACAUGUUAGUGUCUUAAGAGACAUACGAUCUAUAAGGGUUUAGGUUGGGAGGGACCUUGAAGACCAUCCAGUUCCAGCCCCUCUGCCGGAGUCAGGAACACUUCUCACUGCAUCAGGCUGCCCAGAGCCCCAUCCAGCCUGUCCCUGAACGCUUCCUGGGAUGGGGUUUGGCACAUUACAGUUUUAAUUAAAGGUAACGACCUACUCAUACAUAGUUCCUUCAGCUGCGGACUGUACUUUGUCAUCUCUUCUAUUCAGGAUACAUAGGAUGUAGAUUUGUCCGUUAUUUUUCUAUAAAGACUCCUUGGCAUAGGGGCUGUUGUUGGAAAACAGUGAUUUUCAAGUUUCUGAAAUGCUUUUAAAAGUUAAUUUGCUUAUCAUUAAUGACUUUCUCGGAGUUGUUACAGCCUUUAGAGGUAGGGCCUGGCCCUGACAGUUUUUAGGUCAUACAAACUACAGGGAUCUUUUAUGCAGUCUCUUUCCCAGCUCCUUAGUCAGAUAAAGUUCUCAUUAAAGUCAAUAGGCUACUUUUCUCCCUCUAGGAGUACAGGGUCACGCCCUGUAUCUGCUGUUAUAAUGCAGGCACCUUGACAAGACAGACUGUUUAAUGGGUUCUUCUGAGUCAUUAUGGUCCAUCAAGUCAAAACCCACUUAGGAAUUUUAGUCUGAGAAUAAUUGGCUGGAUAGACUCCUUUGAAAUGACUGCCAGGUAAAUGUGGGUCUCAUUCACAGGCAGUACAUUCUCAAGUUGAAAAUCUGUAUGAAAUAUUUGAUGAGUAAACUUUUAUUUCAUAUACUAAAAUCCAUAUCUGAUUGAUUUUACUGUUUGAGCUAUAAAGAAAAAUCUAAUCCCUGUAUGGAUUCAGAGCCGUCAGCGUGUUUUGCUUUAACGCCACGUUUGGCUUCUUUUCAUUUGCAGCAUAUCUCAAAAAUAGUUGCUUUUGAAAAGUGUGCAGUGUUUUCAGGUGUGUGUUGCUGAGAAAAGCAGCAAAUGAGUCAUCAGUUAUUGAAAUACUGAUUGGCCCAAGCAUGCAAUGAGAGUGGGAUACAGUUUGGAGAGCAGUCUGGUUACACUAACAAGUUUAAUGGAGAACCAAUCUCUGAACUUGUAGAGUGAGUUGCAACUGAGCACCUCUAUCCAGUGCUGUUCCAGCCUACCAAAUCAGCCUAGAGCAGGACAGGGCAGGGGUGGAGAAAAUUUAUAACUUUCUGUUCUUCUUACAUUCCAAUUAAAGUUUUUAUUUAAAAAGACUGUAUUCUGCCAGGGCACGGAGAAGCAAGCACAAGUGGAUCUGAUCCAGGCUGCCUUCUCUAAUUAAGCUGAGUGGAGUGAUAAAAGAAACUGCAAAAAAAACCAACCAAACAAACAAGAAAAAGACAGAAAAUAAUUUUAUGUUUUAUUUUAGCCUCUGACUUCAAUAAUAGCAUUAACCUUUGUUAAAAUGGCUUUUGCUUUUUAAAAGCAAACCAAACACUCUAACAGCAACCAUGUAGUAAGAUCCAGAUUCUGUUGUGAAUGUUCUGUCCUGUUCUGUUGAUCACUCACAGUUUUAUACCUCAGACCAAAAUCCCCAAAUAAUUGUCUUAUUGUCCAUAUUCACAUUCUAAGGUGCAUUCCAGCUACUUAAUUAGAGUGGGUAGUCUCUUCCCAGUUUUGUAGGAAAAGUUGUCUUUUGAAGACUGCUGCAUUAUGUUUUAAUCUGAAUUUACAGCAAUUUAAAUAGCCUUCCCAUAACAGCACAUCCCUCGUGUGCUCUAUUACUGAGAAGUUAAAAACC